rnacentral:lncRNA from 2 species
CUGAGCAGGACGCAGGGAUGAGCCGCGAUGGAUCGGGUGGCGCUGCCCUCAUGGCCCAACGAGUCUGCAAAAGCUGUCACUGAAGGCUCACUGCAGCACUUGGUCCCGGGGAGCCUGGCGCCUCUCCCCACAUCCCUCCCCUGGCAGGAUAAUUCUGCAGCCAGGACUUCAGGAAUCGCUUCGGAAGCAUUGUGUAAGAAACCUUUCCACCCAUGCUGAAAUGGCGUUGAUCAAGACCAUCCCUUUGCCUUCGAUCUCACAGCCAGGAAGCAGAAGCACCAGGAUUGAAGAGUUUCCAAGACCAGCUGGCAGGUUCUUCUCUCCACCUCA